GACGAACGCUGGCGGCGUGCUUAACACAUGCAAGUCGAACGGUGAAGCUCCAGUUUGUUGGAGUGGCUCAGUGGCGAACGGGUGAGUAACACGUUAGCAACCUGCCCCUGACUCUGGAAUAAGCGCUGGAAACGGCGUCUAAUACUGGAUCCUAGACGGGUCCGCAUGGGCACUUUCUGGACAGUUUUUCGGUCGGGGAUGGGCUCGCGGCCUAUCAGCUUGUUGGUGAGGUAAUCGCUCACCAAAGCGACGACGGGUAGCCGGCCUGAGAGGGCGACCGGCCAAACGGGGACUGAGAGACGGCCCAGACUCAUACGGAAGGCAGCAGUGGGGAAUAUUGCAAAAUGAGCGAAAGACUGAGGCAGAGGCGCCGCGUGAGGGAUGACGGCUUUCGGGUUAUAAACCUCUUUCAGCAGGGAAGAAGCGAAAGUGACGGUACCUGCAGAAGAAGCACCGGCUAACUACGUG
rnacentral:rRNA from 1 species